GACGAACGCUGGCGGCAGGCCUAACACAUGCAAGUCGAGCGGACCUUUCGGGGUCAGCGGCGGACGGGUGAGUAACGCGUGGGAAUAUGCCCUUCUCUACGGAAUAGUCCUGGGAAACUGGGGGUAAUACCGUAUACGCCCUUUGGGGGAAAGAUUUAUCGGGGAAGGAUUAGCCCGCGUUGGAUUAGGUAGUUGGUGGGGUAAUGGCCUACCAAGCCGACGAUCCAUAGCUGGUUUGAGAGGAUGAUCAGCCACACUGGGACUGAGACACGGCCCAGACUCCUACGGGAGGCAGCAGUGGGGAAUCUUAGACAAUGGGGGCAACCCUGAUCUAGCCAUGCCGCGUGAGUGAUGAAGGCCUUAGGGUUGUAAAGCUCUUUGAGCUGGGAAGAUAAUGACGGUACCGGCAGAAGAAGCCCCGGCUAACUCCGUG
rnacentral:rRNA from 1 species